rnacentral:tRNA from 1 species
GCGGGUGUGGCGGAACCGGUAGACGCGCCAGCUUGAGGGGCUGUUGGGAGUUACAUCCCGUGGAGGUUCGAGUCCUCUCACCCGCACCA